rnacentral:rRNA from 1 species
UACGUAGGGCGCAAGCGUUGUCCGGAAUUAUUGGGCGUAAAGAGCUCGUAGGCGGCCAGUUGCGUCUGCUGUGAAAUCCCGGGGCUCAACCCCGGGCGUGCAGUGGAUACGGGCUGGCUAGAGGCAGGCAGGGGAGAACGGAAUUCCCGGUGUAGCGGUGAAAUGCGCAGAUAUCAGGAGGAACACCGAUGGCGAAGGCAGGUCUCUGGGCCGAUACUGACGCUGAGGAGCGAAAGCGUGGGGAGCGAACAGG